rnacentral:pre_miRNA from 1 species
AGUGGGAUAGCUGGGUCAAAUGGUGGUUCUAAGUUUUUCAAGGAAUCUCCAUACUGCUUUCCAUAUUGGCUGCACCAUUUUGUAGUCCCAUCAGCAAU